rnacentral:rRNA from 1 species
UGGGGAAUAUUGCACAAUGGGCGAAAGCCUGAUGCAGCAACGCCGCGUGCGGGAAGAAGGCCCUAGGGUUGUAAACCGCUUUCAGCAGGGAAGAAAAUGACGGUACCUGCAGAAGAAGGUGCGGCCAACUACGUGCCAGCAGCCGCGGUGACACGUAGGCACCAAGCGUUGUCCGGAUUUAUUGGGCGUAAAGAGCUCGUAGGCGGUUCAGUAAGUCGGGUGUGAAAACUCUGGGCUCAACCCAGAGACGCCACCCGAUACUGCUGUGAUUUGAGUACGGUAGGGGAGUGGGGAAUUCCUGGUGUAGCGGUGAAAUGCGCAGAUAUCAGGAGGAACACCAGUGGCGAAGGCGCCACUCUGGGCCGUAACUGACGCUGAGGAGCGAAAGCGUGGGGAGCAAACAGGAUUAGAUACCCACGUAGUCCCUGAGCGGGCUGGCAAGGCGCAU